CACCAGUCUUCGUCUCUUCUGUAUUCCUGCUCCAAGCUCUCCAGAACACUGCACACCUAUUUCACAAGUAAAAUUGAUAUUUUUCACAUCAUUUGAUGUUAUACAGCAUUGGUCAUCAUUGGGAUCUAUUAUAACCAUUUUUCUCUCCUUUCUGCAUGAAAACAAACGAUUAAGAAUUUUUCUCAGUCGUCACUACAAACGUCAAUGGAUCGUUGGAAGGAAAGCCUGCCUAAAAUCAGCACUCAUACAGACUCAACUUCUGGUGCCAGUCUAUUCCUG